ACAAGCGGUGGAGUAUGUGGUUAAUUCGACGCAACGCGCAGAACCUUACCUAGGCUUGACGAUCCCGGGAAUUUGCUGGAAACAGUGAAGUGCUUCAUUAGAAAGAGCCCGGUGACAGGUGCUGCAUGGCUGUCGUCAGCUCGUGUCGUGAGAUGUUGGGUUAAGUCCCGCAACGAGCGCAACCCUCAUCUCUAGUUGCCAGCGAUUCGGUCGGGGACUCUAGAGAUACUGCCCCGGUUAACGGGAGGAAGGUGGGGAUGACGUCAAGUCCUCAUGGCCCUUAUGCCCAGGGCUACACACGUGCUACAAUGGGCGGUACAAAGGGUAGCGAUGCCGCGAGGCGAAGCCAAUCCCAAAAAGCCGUCCUCAGUUCGGAUUGGAGUCUGCAACUCGACUCCAUGAAGCCGGAAUCGCUAGUAAUCGCGGAUCAGCAUGCCCGCGGUCCGAAUACGUUCCGGCCUU
rnacentral:rRNA from 1 species